UACGGGGGGAGCAAGCGUUGUUCGGAUUUACUGGGCGUAAAGGGCGCGUAGGCGGCGUGACAAGUCACUUGUGAAAUCUCCGGGCUUAACUCGGAACGGUCAAGUGAUACUGUCGGACUAGAGUACAGAAGGGGCAACUGGAAUUCUCGGUGUAGCGGUGAAAUGCGUAGAUAUCAGGAGGAACACCGAUGGCGAAGGCAGGUCUCUGGGCCGAUACUGACGCUGAGGAGCGAAAGCGUGGGGAGCGAACAGG
rnacentral:rRNA from 1 species